UACGUAGGUGACAAGCGUUGUCCGGAUUUACUGGGCGUAAAGAGCGCGCAGGCGGUCGUUCAAGUCGAGUGUGAAAGCCCCCGGCUCAACUGGGGAGGGUCACUCGAUACUGAUUGACUUGAAGGCAGGAGAGGGUAGUGGAAUUCCCGGUGUAGUGGUGGAAAUGCGUAGAUAUCGGGAGGAACACCAGUGGCGAAGGCGACUACCUGGCCUGUUCUUGACGCUGAGGCGCGAAAGCUAGGG
rnacentral:rRNA from 1 species